AAGACAUUACGCCCCUGCUAAAAUCGGUUUCCUAUUGAACAUACUUCUUUCCGUAAGAAAUAGUAUAGUUUGAUUACAUUUUAGGGUAUCUGAGGAGUAAAUAGACAUGUAUUUUGACUUGUGAACCAAAGUUUAGGGGUAGAUUUUUGGAUUCCUUUCUCUGCAUGUUGAACGAGUGGAUUACUCAAAUUGAUGGCGCCAACUAAACAGACUUUUUGGAAUAUAAAGAACUAUUUUAUCUAACAAAAUGACACUACAUGUUAUAGCUGGCACCCUUUGGAUGACAAAUCAGAAGAACAUUUUCAAAAGCACAAAGACCAGAACAACCCACUCCAGCCUACAUACAACCAUCUGAUAGGAGCUGGCUACUGUACCGGAAUACUUCCAGCAAUUGUGCUAAGCUGACAAUAUGCUAACUUCACUAUCCAAACUGCAGACAGAGACAUAAAAAAUGGUAUCCAUGUUUCUGGCCCUAGGACCAUGCCUCAGGACUACCUGGCAUGAUGACUCCUUGAUAUCCCCAGUCCACCAGGCAGUGCUGCUGCUCCAGUUUCAACUGUUCUGCCUGCGACUAUGGAACCCUGACCUGUUCACCGGACAUGCUACCUGUCCCAGACCUGCUGUUUUCAACUCUCUAGAGACAGCAGGAGCGGUAGAGAUACUCUCAAUGAUCGGCUAUGAAAAGCCAACUGACAUCUACUCCUGAGGUGCUGACCUGUUGCACCCUCGACAACUGCUGUGAUUAUUAUUAUUUGACCAUGCUGGUCAUUUAUGAACAUUUGAACAUCUUGGCCAUGUUCUGUUAUAAUCUCCACCCGGCACAGCCAGAAGAGGACUGGCCACCCCUCAUAGCCUGGUUCCUCUCUAGGUUUCAUCCUAGGUUUUGGCCUUUCUAGGGAGUUUUUCCUAGCCACCGUGCUUCUACACCUGCAUUGCUUGCUGUUUGGGGUUUUAGGCUGGGUUUCUGUACAGCACUUUGAGAUAUCAGCUGAUGUAAGAAGGGCUAUAUAAAUACAUUUGAUUUGAUUUGAAUACAAUACAUCACAUCACAUUUACAGGUCAUCAUACCAAAAGGACUGAGAAUAUAUACUGCUCAAAAAAAUAAAGGGAACACUUAAACAACACAUCCUAGAUCUGAAUGAAAGAAAUAAUCUUACUAAAUACUUUUUUCUUUACAUAGUUGAAUGUGCUGACAACAAAAUCACACAAAAAUAAUCAAUGGAAAUCCAAUUUAUCAACCCAUGGAGGUCUGGAUUUGGAGUCACACUCAAAAUUAAAGUGGAAAACCACACUACAGGCUGAUCCAACUUUGAUGUAAUGUCCUUAAAACAAGUCAAAAUGAGUCUCAGUAGUGUGUGUGGCCUCCACGUGCCUGUAUGACCUCCCUAC
rnacentral:lncRNA from 1 species